GAAAAUGAAUUUGUGUUUGUAGGUGAAGCAAAUUUAUGCUUUUCGUUGAAGAAAAAAACACGUUUGUUGUUCUCUUUUUGAGAGGACUACUCUCAUGAAGGCAAAUAUGCGCUUCCACGAGAAUCAAAUCUGCACCUUCCAUGCAAGCAAGGAAAACAUUUUUUUUCCUUUUCCAAGACAUUUGUGUCUCUGGAAAUCAAAUAUGUGCCUCCCGAAAAGAAAAAGAAAAAGUGUUUUUUCAAAUAGUCACAAUUGUGCCUCUCACGAAUCAAAUAUGUGCCCACAUAAGAAAUAAAUUUG
rnacentral:lncRNA from 1 species